CAGUCGCCGCGGUAAUACGUAGGUGGCGAGCGUUGUCCGGAAUCAUUGGGCGUAAAGGGCUCGCAGGCGGUUUCUUAAGUCUGAUGUGAAAGCCCCCGGCUCAACCGGGGAGGGCCAUUGGAAACUGGGAAACUUGAGUGCAGAAGAGGAGAGUGGAAUUCCACGUGUAGCGGUGAAAUGCGUAGAGAUGUGGAGGAACACCAGUGGCGAAGGCGACUCUCUGGUCUGUAACUGACGCUGAGGAGCGAAAGCGUGGGGAGCGAACAGGAUUAGAUACCCCUGUAGUCCCUGUCUCUUAUAC
rnacentral:rRNA from 1 species